UACGGGGGGGGCAAGCGUUGUUCGGAAUUACUGGGCGUAAAGGGCUCGUAGGCGGCCAACUAAGUCAUACGUGAAAUCCCUCGGCUUAACCGGGGAACUGCGUCUGAUACUGGAUGGCUUGAGUUCGGGAGAGGGAUGCGGAAUUCCAGGUGUAGCGGUGAAAUGCGUAGAUAUCGGGAGGAACACCAGUGGCGAAGGCGGCGAUCUGGGAAGAUACUGACGCUGAGGUGCGAAAGCGUGGGGAGCAAACAGG
rnacentral:rRNA from 1 species